UCGAGCAUUUACCAGAUAUUCAGUAUUCUUGUGUAUAUAAGACCGGUAAGAAGUGACGGCAACAAUGCAAUGUAAUUGAAUUGCAGACAGAGAUAGAGACUGACAGUUGGGUCGAGCGUGUGUGUCGUUCGUUGUGAAUUAUAGCGU